rnacentral:rRNA from 1 species
AUUGAACGCUGGCGGCAUGCUUUACACACGCAAGUCGAACGGUAACAGGCCGCAAGGUGCUGACGAGUGGCGAACGGGUGAGUAAUGCAUCGGAACGUGCCCAGUCGUGGGGGGUAACGCAGCGAAAGCUGCGCUAAUACCGCAUACGAUCUAUGGAUGAAAGCGGGGGACCGUAAGGCCUCGCGCGAUUGGAGCGGCCGAUGUCAGAUUAGGUAGUUGGUGGGGUAAAGGCUCACCAAGCCAACGAUCUGUAGCUGGUCUGAGAGGACGACCAGCCACACUGGGACUGAGACACGGCCCAGACUCCUACGGGAGGCAGCAGUGGGGAAUUUUGGACAAUGGGCGCAAGCCUGAUCCAGCAAUGCCGCGUGCAGGAAGAAGGCCUUCGGGUUGUAAACUGCUUUUGUACGGAACGAAACGGCUCUCUCUAAUACAGGGGGCUAAUGACGGUACCGUAAGAAUAAGCACCGGCUAACUACGUGCCAGCCGCCGCCGUAAAAC